UACGAAGGGGGCUAGCGUUGCUCGGAAUCACUGGGCGUAAAGGGUGCGUAGGCGGGUCUUUAAGUCAGGGGUGAAAGCCCGGGGCUCAACUCCGGAAUUGCCUUUAAAACUGCAUCGCUAGAAUUGUGGAGAGGUAAGUGGAAUUCCUGGUGUAGCGGUGAAAUGCGCAGAUAUCAGGAAGAACACCCGUGGCUAAGGCGGCUCUCUAGUACGGUACUGACGCUGAGACGCGAAAGCGUGGGGAGCGAACAGG
rnacentral:rRNA from 1 species